GGGCGGUUAGCUCAGUCGAUUAGAGCGUGGUGAUGAUAACACCAAGGUCGCAGGUUCGAUCCCCGUUCGGUCCC
rfam:Apaloderma vittatum contig36834, whole genome shotgun sequence.